rnacentral:lncRNA from 1 species
AGUCUCGGUUGUCAUUUCUUCUCCUUCAGUCCAUUAAACUGCUAUCUUCAACUAAAAAGAAAACAAGGUGAUGCAGGCAUUUCAUCAUCAUAUGACAACUGCAUUGGCAUUGACCUGCUAGAAAUUCUAGCAGUAGCAGUUUGUUAGGCCAAAGCAAUAACAUCGAAGAUGACACAAUUCUCAAAACCAACAAGCACAUUUACUCCCAGCUUUUGAGAGCAACUGCAAAUAAAACCGCGACUCUUCUGGAAAGAAUCAACGUUAUCGUCCACCUGCUGGGCCAGCUUGCCGCCGGCAGUGCAGCGAGCAGCAAUGCCGUUCAGUGACUGCACAGAGCCGUGUCCCAGACACGCUGUCAGUGCCUUCAACACGGAGCCGGUUUGUUCAUUCGGUGCUUUGUUUCAUUAAAUAAUAGGGAAAUAUCCAUUUAAAACAG